GCUCCAGUGGCACAAUCGGUUAGCGCGCGGUACUUAUAAUGCCGAGGUUGUGAGUUCGAGCCCUCACUUGGAGCA